GAUGAACGCUAGCUACAGGCUUAACACAUGCAAGUCGAGGGGCAGCGGGUUGAAAGCUUGCUUUCAAUGCCGGCGACCGGCGCACGGGUGCGUAACGCGUAUCAAACCUGCCUCAUACUCGGGGAUAGCCUUGCGAAAGUAAGAUUAAUACCCGAUGUUGUUGCUUUCUCGCAUGGGAGAGUAACCAAAGAUUUAUCGGUAUGAGAUGGUGAUGCGUCCGAUUAGGUAGUAGGCGGGGUAACGGCCCACCUAGCCUUCGAUCGGUAGGGGUUCUGAGAGGAAGGUCCCCCACACUGGAACUGAGACACGGUCCAGACUCCUACGGGAGGCAGCAGUGAGGAAUAUUGGUCAAUGGGCGAGAGCCUGAACCAGCCAAGUAGCGUGCAGGAUGACGGCCCUCCGGGUUGUAAACUGCUUUUAGUUGGGAAUAAAACAGCGGACUUGUCCGCUCUUGUAUGUACCUUCAGAAAAAGGACCGGCUAAUUCCGUGCCAGCAGCCGCGGUAAUACGGAAGGUCCAGGCGUUAUCCGGAUUUAUUGGGUUUAAAGGGAGCGUAGGCGGAUUGUUAAGUCAGCGGUUAAAGGGUGUGGCUCAACCAUGCAUUGCCGUUGAAACUGGCGAUCUUGAGUGCAGACAGGGAUGCCGGAAUUCGUGGUGUAGCGGUGAAAUGCUUAGAUAUCACGAAGAACUCCGAUCGCGAAGGCAGGUGUCCGGGCUGCAACUGACGCUGAGACUCGAAAGUGUGGGUAUCAAACAGG
rnacentral:rRNA from 1 species